CAAAGGAAGUGUAAUCUUGGAAUUUUAAGAUCGCAGCCAAGUUCUACAUCUAGAUUCUAGAUCCUGGAUCUGUCAUUUAGAUCAACAUAAUUCUAACCUAUCUUGAUAGUUGUUCUACAAAAACUUGACUGAUGGAGUGUAACUCUAGUACCGAGCUCAUGCAAAAUGAAAGUUAUUGCGCAGACUGGACUGCUGAGAUAGACAUCAAUCUGUGAAAUCUGUGUUUAAACUGAAUGAGCUGAGACCCCUGCAGAGACAAACAAUGAAUGCGACUUUGGCUAAAGAGGACUGUCUUCUGAUCAUGCCAACAGGUGGUGGAAAGAGCUUGUGCUUUCAGCUCCCUGCUGUCAUUAGCAAAGGACUCACUCUCGUUAUCUGUCCAUUGGUGUCUGUGAUGGAGGACCAACACAUUGCACUGGAGCGACUGAAAAUACCUUCAGCUAUCUAUAACUAUUCCACUCCCAGACUAUAGAGGUUAACCGUAU
rnacentral:sRNA from 1 species